rnacentral:rRNA from 1 species
UACGGGGGGGGGCAAGCGUUGUUCGGAAUUACUGGGCGUAAAGGCGCGUAGGCGGCCUGCUAAGUCGGACGUGAAAUCCCCCCGGCUCAACCGGGGAACUGCGUCCGAUACUGGUGGGCUCGAAUCCGGGAGAGGGAUGUGGAAUUCCAGGUGUAGCGGUGAAAUUCGUAGAUAUUCGGAGGAACACCAGUGGCGAAGGCGGCUCACUGGUCCGGUACUGACGCUGAGGUGCGAAAGCGUGGGGAGCAAACAGG